GAUGAACGCUAGCUACAGGCUUAACACAUGCAAGUCGCGGGGCAGCAUGGGGGUUGCUUGCAAUCCCCGAUGGCGACCGGCGCACGGGUGAGUAACGCGUAUUCAACCUGCCCUUCACCACGGGAUAACCCGGCGAAAGUCGGACUAAUACCGUAUGUUGUCCAUUGACGGCAUCCGAUUUGGACGAAAGGCUUGGCGGUGAGGGAUGGGGAUGCGUCCGAUUAGCCAGACGGCGGGGUAACGGCCCACCGUGGCUACGAUCGGUAGGGGUUCUGAGAGGAAGGUCCCCCACACUGGAACUGAGACACGGUCCAGACGCCUACGGGAGGCAGCAGUGAGGAAUAUUGGUCAAUGGGCGUAAGCCUGAACCAGCCAAGUAGCGUGCAGGAUGACGGCCCUAUGGGUUGUAAACUGCUUUUAUGCGGGGAUAAAGUGGCCCACGUGUGGGCUUUUGCAGGUACCGCAUGAAUAAGGACCGGCUAAUUCCGUG
rnacentral:rRNA from 1 species